AGCCUGCUUAAACCACUUCUCCAUACCACUCUUACAUUGCUGGGAAGCUCUCACUUCUCUUUCAAAAUACUUCUUUGCCGUCGCGAUGCUCCGCCGCGCCAUUCCUUUCUGCGCUUCAAGGAACGCGCGUUUCGGCCUUAGGCACAAAUCCAGUGGCGGAAGAAGGCCGAAGAAGAAAACUUACCACAGAGUGGCCGAACUAGACAGAGUGAUGGAACUGCGAAAGAAGCCAUUGAUGAUUCUCCAACUCACCUCCCUCGUCCAAUCUCAGCCUCACCGUUCCCCCCUCUUCCUCCGCGAUCUCGAGAAGAACGUCGGCUUCGUUCGAAAAUGGGCCUUCAUGGCCCUCAUCGAGAAACACCCCUCCGUCUUCCGCGUCGCAGGGACGCCCCCUUCCGUCUCCCUCACGGCCCGGGCCCGAACCCUAGCGCAGGAAGAGGCCCACGUCCGAGCCUCCAUGGAACCCCUCUUGGUCACCAACCUACGGAAGCUGCUCAUGCUCUGUGUCGAUUGCAAGCUGCCGCUUCAAACGGUGGAGCUAGUUGGGCCUCAGUUGGGCCUUCCCUCCGAUUUUAAGGACUGUUUGAUUCCGAAGUACCCCCAGUUUUUCAGGGUUAGGCGCUCCCGUGGAAGGGAUUGUCUUCUGUUGGAGGAUUGGGAUUCCACCUUGGCUGUCACUUCUAGAGAGACUAGGUUGGCACAGGAAGGAGUUGUGAACAUGAAGGCAAAUGGAGAUAGGAGGAAGGUGAAGAUUUCAAGAGAUGGGAACUACCUUGGUCCAUUUGCAUUCAAAAUGAAUUUUCCUGCUGGAUUUAGGCCAAAUGUUGGUUACCUUGAGCAGCUUGAGAGGUGGCAGAAGUUGGAGUUCCCUUCUCCUUAUUUGAAUGCAAGGAGAUUUGAUUCUGCUGAUCCAAAAGCUCGAAAACGAUCUGUGGCAGUGAUUCAUGAGCUCCUGAGCUUGACCAUGGAGAAGAGGAUGACAUCUGCACAGCUUGAGGCAUUUCAUGCAGAGUGUCUUUUGCCAUCUCAAUUACUGCUUUGCUUGAUAAAGCAUCAGGGGAUAUUUUACCUCACUAAUAAAGGUGAACGGAGUACCGUGUUCCUCAAAGAUGCAUACAUUGGUUCCAACUUGAUAGAUAAGUGUCCUUUGUUGCAAUUUUAUGAUAAAUUUAUGGCACUCUGUGGAAGAGGAAAUAUUGAUCUGAGUGAGAACAUGAAUUCCUUACCAACUGUUAUUUAGAAGUUGAAUUCGAUUGAUUCUUUAGUGAUAAGGUGAUUCUGCAUCUGUUCCUAGUUGGUAAAGGGUAAGGAAAUAUAACUGGAAAAGUAAGCAGCAUAAAGGAUAUCAUUCCUUACUUUAAAGGAAAACCACGUAAUUACAAUCUCCUGAUAGCAUUAGGAAUAUUAGCUACGGCUAGAAAGGCUGUGAUCAAAAGUGAAAGUUGACUUUGUCAAAUUAGAAUAUUUUCAUUGUCCCUUGUGGUCAGAGGUUGAAGUUGUUCAGAAAAGUCUUAUCGUUUAAAAUUCUGAUGCUCAUAGUUCGGCAAAUAUGUAUGCCCACAGACAAUUUGAUCAUUGCUCUUAAGGCCUUUUAAGCGUGGUGAUAAAGAUGAUAUUUAGGAGUUCAUCAAAAGAAGAGGCUAUGCAUGAAAGUAUUUACAACAUCAUUAUGCAUCUGAUGCUUUAGUGUAAAUAUGCUGCCUUAAUCUGAAGAUUUUGGCACUCCUUUGAUGCAUUUGUGGCUGAGCAGUUAAAGAGCUAUAAUCGCUUGAAGACACCAGAGAUUGUUCUAAAUACUGUCUCACAUGUGUAUCAUACUCGGGCGUUAGUUCUGCUGUGAGAGUUGUUAGUUGUUCUCGAGAUGAAGAAGACAGUGAUUGAACUCGGGGAUAUUUCACAAUAAUCAAGACAAUUUUUUUAUAAUUAAUUAGGAGGUGGUGUAUAAUGUAAUGUCUUGUAGUAUAUUUGGUCUUCCACCUUUUUAUGUUCUGUUGUUCCAAAAUAUCCAUGUGAUAAUGGCCAGUACUUGUUGCUAGUUACAGAAGUAUUAAUUACUUGUUGCUAGUUGCAGAAGUAUUAAUUUAGUUUCUUUCUUGAUAGUUGAAAGGCACUUGUGUUGAUAGUAUUGGUUAUAACGUAAAUUUUGAGAUGAAA